UACCAUUUGAGACCGCAGUAAGAGACUCUGGAGCCCAUCACCCCAGCAGUAACUCCUGGAAGUAUUAUGUAAGCACUCUGUGAACUGUCCUGCCUUCUUCUGUCUUCUGUUCUCUUUUCCAUCCUAGGUGUUUUUCUUCUACAGAGACAGCAUGUUUUAAUGGACUGAGCACAGAGCUGAGACUGGAGUCAAGAGUUCCUGAAAAUGAAUUCUAGCUCUGUCAUGACUUAUCACGUGGAUAUGAUUUCCAGGACAUAAUUUAUGCUAAAUACCUAUGUUUAAAGGAUGCUUUGUAGAAAACUGUAAUUUUUUAAAAAUUAAUUACAAAAUAAAAUUUAAACUCUA